AAACGACAUCGAAAGCUUGCUUUUGAUGGGCGUCGACCGGCGCACGGGUGAGUAACGCGUAUCCAACCUGCCCAUCACUUGGGAAUAACCUUGCGAAAGUAAGACUAAUGCCCAAUGAUAUCCCACGAAGGCAUCCGAAUGGGAUUAAAGAUUUAUCGGUGAUGGAUGGGGAUGCGUCUGAUUAGCUUGUUGGGCGGGGGAACGACCCACCAAGGCAACGAUCAGUAGGGGUUCUGAGAGGAAGGUCCCCCCACAUUGGAACUGAGACACGGUCCAAACUCC
rnacentral:rRNA from 1 species